rnacentral:rRNA from 1 species
UACGAAGGGGGGCUAGCGUUGCUCGGAAUGACUGGGCGUAAAGGGCGCGUAGGCGGUCACGCACGUCCGUUGUGAAAUCGCUCGGCUCAACUGGGCGGGGGUCAGCGGAUACGGCGUGGCUGGAGCAAGCUAGGGGGCAAUGGAAUUCCCGGUGUAGUGGUGGAAUGCGUAGAUAUCGGGGAGGAACACCAGUGGCGAAGGCAGCUCUCUGGGACGGGUACUGGACGCUGAGACGCGAAAGCGUGGGGGAGCGAACAGG